UACGUAGGGUGCAAGCGUUGUCCGGAAUUAUUGGGCGUAAAGAGCUCGUAGGUGGCGGGUCACGUCGGGUGUGAAAGCCCGGGGCUCAACCCCGGGUCUGCAUUCGAUACGGGUCUGUUAGGGUCCGGCAGGGGAGACUGGAAUUCCUGGUGUAGCGGUGAAAUGCGCAGAUAUCAGGAGGAACACCGGUGGCGAAGGCGGGUCUCUGGGCCGGUACCGACACUGAGGAGCGAAAGCAUGGGGAGCGAACAGG
rnacentral:rRNA from 1 species